AAAAUACUUCCGGAAAAUACUUGUCAUCAAAAUGAAUAAAAGAGGAUGUAUCUAGAUGUAUUUUAGUUCUACAUAUAUUCUUUUUUGUUCAUUUUAAUGACAAGUAUUUUCGGACGGAGGGAGUAGCUA
rnacentral:pre_miRNA from 1 species